GAUGAAGAACGUAGCGAAAUGCGAUAAGUAAUGUGAAUUGCAGAAUUCAGUGAAUCAUCGAAUCUUUGAACGCACAUUGCGCCCGCCAGUAUUCUGGCGGGCAUGCCUGUUCGAGCGUCAUUACAACCCUCAGGCCCCCGGCCUGGCGUUGGGGAUCGGCGGAAGCCCCCUGCGGGCACAACGCCGUCCCCCAAAUACAGUGGCGGUCCCGCCGCAGCUUCCAUUGCGUAGUAGCUAACACCUCGCAACUGGAGAGCGGCGCGGCCACGCCGUAAAACACCCAACUUCUGAAUGUUGACCUCGAAUCAGGUAGGAAUACCCGCUGAACUUAAGCAUAUCAAUAAGCGGAGGA
rnacentral:misc_RNA from 1 species